rnacentral:rRNA from 1 species
GACGAACGCUGGCGGCGUGCUUAACACAUGCAAGUCGAACGGAAAGGCCCUGCUUGCAGGGUACUCGAGUGGCGAACGGGUGAGUAACACGUGGGUGAUCUGCCCUGCACUUCGGGAUAAGCCUGGGAAACUGGGUCUAAUACCGGAUAGGGGCCAUUUUUAGUGUGAUGGUUGGAAAGUUUUUUCGGUGUAGGAUGAGCUCGCGGCCUAUCAGCUUGUUGGUGGGGUAAUGGCCUACCAAGGCGGCGACGGGUAGCCGGCCUGAGAGGGUGGACGGCCACAGUGGGACUGAGAUACGGCCCAGACUCCUACGGGAGGCAGCAGUGGGGAAUAUUGCACAAUGGGCGCAAGCCUGAUGCAGCGACGCCGCGUGGGGGAUGACGGCCUUCGGGUUGUAAACUCCUUUCGCUAGGGACGAAGCUUUUUGUGACGGUACCUAGAUAAGAAGCACCGGCUAACUACGUG